CUCAGAUUUCUGAAAAUGAGGUUCCUUGCUCAGCUCCUGGGGCUCCUCAUGCUCUGGGUCCCAGGAUCCAGUGGGGACAUUGUGCUGACCCAGACUCCACUCUCCCUGUCUGUCCUCCCUGGAGAGACGGCCUCCAUCUCCUGCAAGUCUAGUCAGAGCCUUCUACAUACCGAUGGAAAAACCUAUGCGUAUUGGUUCCAACAGAAACCAGGCCAAUCUCCACAGCUUCUGAUCUAUCAGGUUUCCAACCGUUACUCUGGGGUUUCAGACAGGUUCAGUGGCAGCGGGUCGGGGACGGAUUUCACACUCACCAUCAGCAGGGUGGAGGCUGAGGAUGCUGGAGUUUAUUACUGUUAUCAAGCUUUACAAUCUCCGUAUACUUUCGGUGCAGGAACCAAACUGGAGAUCAAACGGUCUGAUGCCCAGCCAACCGCCUUCCUCUUCCAACCACCUAAAGAACAGUUAGAGACCGGAACUGCCUCUGUUGUGUGCGUCGCAAAAGGCUUCUACCCCAAAGAUAUCAGUGUCAAGUGGAAAGUGGAUGGGGUUGACCAAAGCAGCGGCAUUGAGAACAGUAUCACAGAGCAGGACACCAAGGACAGCACCUACAGCCUCAGCAGCACCCUGACGCUGACCAGCUCACAGUACCAAAGCCAUGAUGUCUAUACCUGUGAGGUCACCCACAAGUCCAUGUCCUCCGCCCUGGUGAAGAGCUUCAAUAAGAACGAGUGUUAGAGCGAGAGGCCUACAGGCCGGUCAGUCACCUGGGAUCGGUCCCAGGCGCCGGCCCCCCACCCCCACCCCCAGGCCUCAGGCCUAUUCCCUACUGCAAUCCUCCAGCCCAUCUCCCCACCUCACCCCCCUCCCCCUCUUUGGCUUUAAUCAUGCUGAUGUUGGGGGGGAAAUGAAUAAAUAAAGUGAAUCUUUG